AAUACAUUUGCCUCAGCAACCGGUCUUAAGGUCAAUUAUGCAAAAUCUGUAAUGGUACCUACGAACAUUGAGGAAGACAGAGUGGACAUUUUCACUAACACACUGCAUUGUGCUAGGGGACAAUUCCCUUUUACAUACUUGGGGCUACCUUUGGGUAUUCAUAAACCAACAGUGGAGCAGUGUCUUCCACUAGUUAACAGAAUUACAAAAAGACUUGCAGGCCUUUCUAUCUUCAUGACACAAGCAGGGAAAGUUCUUUUAGUCAAAUCAAUGCUUUCUUCCUUAUCUGUCUUCUUCAUGAGCUGUUUGGACAUCCCUGUAACAAUUAAGAAGCAGAUCAUCAAAUAUUUGAGGCACUGUCUAUGGAGGAGCUCUGAGAUGGAGGAUAGAAGACCAGCUUUGGUGGCUUGGCACACAGUUUGCAGACCAAAAAAUCAGGGAGGACUGGGCAUACUGGAUACAUACACUCACAACAAAACCCUUCUAAUGAAGAACCUGCACAAAUUCUUCAAAAGACAUGAUAUACCUUGGGUACAAUUAAUUUGGGAAACUUAUUAUUCUGAUGGGUAA
rnacentral:rRNA from 1 species